AAUUAGUUAGAAAGAUUCAAAAGAGUUAUUUAAUGAAUACGACUAAACAUUUAUGAGAUGAUGACAAAUUUAAGCCACUUAUGUUGCUGUUAUUCUAUUUUAUGAACAGUGUUGAAAUCCAGUACACAAUAUUUAAUUUCAUCUGCUGGGCUUUGUUGGUUGAUGCAGGGGGACGCUGCUCUGCUGGACUCACUCCAUUCCCAGUGUCCUUUGCCUUGUUACCAAUGGGAGGAGAACUGGCUUUAGUGAAGGCUGGAACUCUCCAACUCACUCACUCAGCCAUCGUUCCUUAUCUGACACCCCAGAAGUCUGAUACCAGAAAUAUGAUUAAAUAAAACUACUCUCCAUUUGCGGUUGGAACCAACUUUCAAAGCUAACAGGUAGAGGACCUUGAAGUGUCUACCAAGGAAAAGCCAUCCUCUGCAGCCUUGUCUAAAUGGGGCCUUUCCCAAAGGCUCUUCCUCUUUCCCACAUGAGUAUUGUCUCUGUUCUUCUCCCCUGCGUACAAGGAUCUGAGUUUAAAAAAAUAUAUUUGUUAUGAAAAGUAUAAACGUGAUCUCUUAAUUUAAGAGUUUAUGGCCCAG
rnacentral:lncRNA from 1 species